rnacentral:rRNA from 1 species
UACGAAGGGGGCUAGCGUUGCUCGGAAUCACUGGGCGUAAAGCGCACGUAGGCGGACUCUUAAGUCGGUGGUGAAAUCCUGGAGCUCAACUCCAGAACUGCCUUCGAUACUGAGAGUCUCGAGUCCGGGAGAGGUGAGUGGAACUGCGAGUGUAGAGGUGAAAUUCGUAGAUAUUCGCAAGAACACCAGUGGCGAAGGCGGCUCACUGGCCCGGUACUGACGCUGAGGUGGCGAAAGCGUGGGGAGCAAACAGG